AGAGCAAAGAGUCCUGGGCCUCCCAUGACAACACUCAGACAGGAAGGCUCUAAGACCAUGAUGAAGCCUGUCCCUGGCUCUGCAUCUGCCCACCUCUGCCAUCCCUGCUGCUGACUCUGCUGCUGGAAUUCCCCAAUGCUACCUCUCAAUGGACAACAAAUGUGGGAUAAUACGAAAUUAUAAAGCAAGAAAAGAAUCCUUAAUGUUCCAUCUAAACAUAAUCACUGUGAAAAUUUGCAGAGGUUUGCAUGCUAAUGGAACACUGGCCAGAAGUGGUCACUAGGGGUCUCUCUGGGUCAGUGAUGGAAGCUGAACACUGCAGGCUCUCCAACAGAACUUAAGGUUCUGACUCUACUUGCUGAAAAAGCUAAACAAGCAUGUGGAAUCUCUUCCCCAAGGCCAUUGGUUCAUGUUGCAGAGGCUUUGAGUCCCAAUUGCCAGAGCAGAUGGCUUGAGAGGUGCAUAUCUGAUGGAAGAGGACGCCAAAACCAUUUUCUGAGUAUAAGGAAGGAGGAAGAAAGCUUGGAUAUGUUUUUUUAAUUUUUAUUUAUUUAUGAUAGUCACAGAGACAGAGAGAGAGAGAGAGAGAGAGAGAGAGGCAGAGACACAGGCAGAGGGAGAAGCAGGCUCUGUGCACCGGGAGCCCGAUGUGGGAUUCGAUCCAGAGUCUCCGGGAUCGUGCGCCCUGGGCCAAAGGCAGGCGCCAAACCGCUGCGCCACCCAGGGAUCCCUGAACGAGUAAAAUAUAUGAGACAUCUAGACCCCUUGCAAAAUGUUAGUAAACAUUUGCAGAAGAGUUAGUACCAAUUUUAUACAAUCUUCCAGAAAAUAGAAGAGGAUGAGACAUUCCUUAUUCAUUUGUUGGGGCUAUUAAUACCUUGAUAGCAAAACCAGAUUGAAUGUACAUAAAAAAAGAUAACUACAGACGUAUAUCUCUCAUGAUUCUACAUGCAAGGAUUUUCAACAUAAUGCUAGCAAAUAGAAUUUCAGAAUGUAAAGUUCUAUACCGUGGUAUUUAAUCCUAGGAAGGAUUUAUUCAGGCAUGGAAGACUGUUUCACUGCUUAUAAAUCAAUUAUUGUAAUCUAUCACAUCAACAGGUUAAAAAAGAAAACUACAUGAUAAUAUCAGUUGAUGCAGAAAAAGCCUUUGACAAAUCCAAAACGUAUUCAUGAUGCAAACUCUCAGCCAACUGGAAAUAGCAGAGAAUUUCCUCAACUUGAUGAAAAACAUCUGCAGAAUGUCCCACACCUUUCAUUGCACUUAGUGGUAAAUGUCUGAAUGGCUUUUUUCCCCCUAAGCUUUGUUUCUGGGCUUCAAGGUGCUGCUGGUGAUGAGCUUCAUAGUCACCUACAUCUGCAGGCGACAGAACCUGUAACAGGUGAUUUGGAGGUAGGCCUUAGUGCCUAGAGAGAGAAGUCAUGUCACCAUCAUGGGCUGUCCAAAGGAGUCCAAAAGCUGCAUGGAGGAUGGACUUUGAUCUGUGGGACCCAGAGAUGUCUGAAUCCUGAUGGACUGAGCUUCAAACUGGCCCUACCUCUGUCUUAAAGGAGAAUCAAGUCAAAUUCGUAGGUGUUCAGGAUGUUUUGAAAGUCAUCUAGAACAGAGGCUCAUUUUCCCCAGCACACACGUUUGCACAGAGCAGGGUCCUCUGGCCUCCACAAUGUCAGCUCCUGCCUCUGAACCCAGCCCCCCUCCCUACCUGCUGCUGGCUCUGCUGUUGGGACUCACAGGUGUGGCAGGUGAGGCAGAGCUGCAGGUGAUCCAGCCUGAGAAGUCAGUGUCUGUCGCGGCUGGAGAGACAGCCACUCUGCGCUGCACCCUGACCUCCCUGAUCCCCGUUGGGAACGUUGUGUGGUUCAGGGGGACAGGGCCAGGCCGGGAGUUGAUCUUCCAUUUCAAAGGAGGCCACUUCCCCCGAGUAACAAAGAUUACAGACUAUACAAAGAGGAACAACAUGGACUUUUCCAUCCGCAUCAGUAAUAUCACCUCAGCAGACACGGGAACCUACUAUUGUGU